AUGCUUGCAGGCUCCCCUUCUUGCAUCACUCGGGGAUUUGUAGUAUGGGAAGUGUGACUGGUCUGGCUGAGGUUUCUGUGUCCUCUGUUCCCACGUCUGGUUAGAGCUCCUUCCGCUCCUGAGCUUCAGGGCUGUUUGCAUCUGUUACUAGUCAUUCUCUCUUGAUGCACUUUAGGGAACUCGCUGCUUCCUCUCACAUUCUUUGUUUGUGCUAGUUUCCUAGGAAGAAAGUCACUGUCAGAAGCGAACAUUCUUUGUGAAAUGCGGAACAACCAUGAAAACUGCUGGGCUCUAGUUUUGAAGUUUUCAUCAUGAAGGUUGUGUAGGAUCCAGUUAGGAUUUAUCCCAAGUGGUCAAGAAGCAUCUGUGCCCUCCUGAAAGGAGUCCUCAGCUCCCUGACCAGGGCAAUUCUACCUCUUGACCAGCACUGUGACUCAGGUUCUGGCAGAGGAAGAUGGGGCAUGAAGGUGCUCUAGGAGAUCUUCCUAGAGACAGCGUUUGCCUGCCCCUCCAGUCCUGUUGGCACAGUGCAAAUCAUGGUGG
rnacentral:lncRNA from 1 species